UACGUAGGGAGCAAGCGUUGUCCGGAAUCAUUGGGCGUAAAGCGCGCGUAGGUGGCCUCAUAAGUCCGCUGUGAAAGUCAAAGGCUCAACCUUUGAAAGCCGGUGGAUACUGUGAGGCUAGAGUACGGAAGAGGCGAGUGGAAUUCCUGGUGUAGCGGUGGAAUGCGCAGAUAUCAGGAGGGACACCAAUAGCGAAGGCAGCUCGCUGGGACGUUACUGACACUGAGACGCGAAAGCGUGGGGAGCGAACAGG
rnacentral:rRNA from 1 species